UCAAUUGAAGAGCAUGACAUAAUUCAAAGUGAUCAGUACAUAAAUUAAUCAAUUCAAAGUGAUCAGAAAAUGGAUUUAGAACAAAAAUCAAAAAGCAUCUUCCCACUCAAAACAUGGUCUUAAAACUGUCCACAAAAACAUGUUGACCACAACAAAACAAAAGGUUCACACAUCAAGAACCCAGUAGACUUAAAAUCAUAUUAUUUAAAAAACAUACAGUACACUAG
rnacentral:lncRNA from 1 species